rnacentral:rRNA from 1 species
AUUGAACGCUGGCGGCAGGCCUAACACAUGCAAAUCGAGCGGAUGACGGGAGCUUGCUCCCUGAUUCAGCGGCGGACGGGUGAGUAAUGCCUAGGAAUCUGCCUGGUAGUGGGGGACAACGUUUCGAAAGGAACGCUAAUACCGCAUACGUCCUACGGGAGAAAGCAGGGGACCUUCGGGCCUUGCGCUAUCAGAUGAGCCUAGGUCGGAUUAGCUUGUUGGUGAGGUAAUGGCUGACCAAGGCGACGAUCCGUAACUGGUCUGAGAGGAUGAUCAGUCACACUGGAACUGAGACACGGUCCAGACUCCUACGGGAGGCAGCAGUGGGGAAUAUUGGACAAUGGGCGAAAGCCUGAUCCAGCCAUGCCGCGUGUGUGAAGAAGGUCUUCGGAUUGUAAAGCACUUUAAGUUGGGAGGAAGGGUUGUAGAUUAAUACUCUGCAAUUUUGACGUUACCGACAGAAUAAGCACCGGCUAACUCUGUG